CUCUCUAAAAAUUUCGAGCCCUAACUCUCUCUGCCUUCUCUCUAAAUUUCCAGCUCUUUGAACCUUUCAAUCUUGAGUUGGAGGGUGCUCAAACGUUCAUCUCAGUGAAGGCUUCCUUUUGAACCGAUCACAUUUUCGAUUGGACCGGGUUUGGUUGAGUUCUCAUUUGGUGAGACACUGUAAAGGAGAGUUCAUGUAAAGGAGAGUUCAUGUAAAGGAGAGUUCAUGUGAGCUUGGUAAUUCGACUAUGAGAUGAGAGCAAAUGAGGUUGAGGAAAUACCUAUGGAGCAAGAGUUGGAGGAGAAUGAUGCUGUUGCACAUUCUGUAGGAUUUAGAUAUCUAAACUCUUGGAUGUUAAAUACUCAAAACUGUCUGAGUUUAAAACUCUAUAUUAUAUUUUGAAUGACUGUAAUUUCGUACUUAAUUGCAAGUUAUAUUUUAAC